UACAUCAUGCAAAAAAUAGGAAAAAUUUGGCGAAAUCAUCGAUGUAAUUUGCUUAAAGCAAUCAAUAACAAAGGAAAAACAAUUGGCAUGACACAAGCUACUGCUCUCAUCAAGCCCGAUAAUGUUGAAUCAAUGGAAGAAUAGCAAGCAUUUGUCAAAGAACACAAUUCUCAACCAUAUAAGGAAAAGAAUGAAAGAUUCAAAAAGAUGAGAGCAAGUCAAACCAUGAUGCAUACAACAAGUAGAAAGGGCUUUACUCGCUUAGAAGCUGAAAUGCGUGCUGAAAGUGAAGAUCCUGAUUCGAUAACGAGAGAAUGGUGAACCUAUUAAUGAAUCAGUUGGGAAAACAUUGCAUAUUCAGAGGCCGUUUCCUCUCCAAGCAAACACUUACUUGAAAGUGAUGGUGUUGCAAAACUACUUGAUCCAGAAUGUCUAGGACGGGUAAGAGGUCUUGGUUUCGGUGCGUCUUCUUCAAAGUUGAAUGCUUUGGUGCACAAUCAUAACUUGCAAACUCAAGUUCAAGAGUUGAGGGAUGAAAUUAAAGAA